GCUUAAUCUCAAAAAAUUUACCACUAUAUAACCUAACGGUGCAAACCUAUUUUGUUGUUGAUAUUUGAGUCAAAGUGAAAUAAAAAUAAAUAAAAUAAAAUAACAAUGAAAUCAUAGUCACUAACGGAUUAUCUUGCUAUAAGUGUGAAAGGAUAACUGGCUUAAUGUGAUUGCGCUAGAAUGAAAAAGGAUGAAAAAGAGGAUGAGUUAGUUA
rnacentral:lncRNA from 1 species